rnacentral:rRNA from 1 species
CCUACGGGAGGCAGCAGUGAGGAAUAUUGGUCAAUGGACGAGAGUCUGAACCAGCCAAGUAGCGUGAAGGAUGACUGCCCUAUGGGUUGUAAACUUCUUUUAUAUGGGAAUAAAAUGUUCCACGUGUGGGAUUUUGUAUGUACCAUAUGAAUAAGGAUCGGCUAACUCCGUGCCAGCAGCCGCGGUAAUACGGAGGAUCCGAGCGUUAUCCGGAUUUAUUGGGUUUAAAGGGUGCGUAGGUGGAUUGUUAAGUCAGGUGUGAAAGUUUGCGGCUCAACCGUAAAAUUGCAGUUGAAACUGGCAGUCUUGAGUACAGUAGAGGUGGGCGGAAUUCGUGGUGUAGCGGUGAAAUGCUUAGAUAUCACGAAGAACUCCGAUUGCGAAGGCAGUUCACUGGACUGCAACUGACACUGAGGCUCGAAAGUGUGGGUAUCAAACAGGAUUAGAUACCCUUGUAGUC